CACGUAUCAGAUAUUAAACUGACAAGAACAGAUACUACACUUGAUCUUAGCCAAGAGGCCGAGAAAGGUAUGCUUUGGAUGUUGCCCCUGCCCCUAUUCGCCGGCUUUCUGGUUUUCUCUGUUUUCCUUUUUCUUUUUUGUUGUGUUUUUUUUCUGUUUCUGCUUCUAUUUUUUUUUCCUUUUUUCCCUUUCCUUUCCUUUAUCCUUUUUCGUUUUUAUUUUAUCCUUUGUUUUCGAAAAUGUUUUCAUUUUGUUCAUGAUUUCAAAAAUUGUUCACAGUUUCAAAUUUGGUUCACUUUUUAA
rnacentral:rRNA from 1 species